UUUUUUUUUUUUUUUUUUUUUUUUUUUUUUUUUUUGUCUUUUGUCUUUUUGUUGUUGUUGUUGCUCUUUCUUGGGCCGAUCCCACGGCAUAUGGAGAACUAGUGGUUACCAGUGGUGAAAGGGAAGGAGGGAGGGGCAAGACAGGGGUAAGGGAUUAAGAAGUCCAAACUACUAUGUACAAAAUAAAUAAGCUACAAGGAUAUACUGUACGGCAUAGGGAAUACAGCCAAUAUUUUAUAAUAACUUCAUGGAGUGAAAUCUAAAAUUUUGAAUCACUAUGUUGUACACCUGAAACUAAUAUAAUACUGUACAUCAACUAUACUUCAAAAAAAAGAGGAUGGUUUUCUGUAUGUAUACUAUACUUGAAUAAAAAGUUAACAUAUAAAACAGUUUCAAAUUAGAUAAAUGGAAAAAUGAUCAUCAGAAAUAGGAAGUUUUCAAUGCAUCUUUUCAAAGAUGAAUCUAUUACACAUAAUUUGAACAUAGCCCAGUUAAUCACGUGGAUAUUUUGGACUCUUCUAACAACAUACAUGCAUUCAGUCAAUGUGCUUAUUGAGCAAAUCCUACAUCUAGUCACUCUUUAAUAAAUAAAAGUUAGCUGGGGAUAUCCACAGGUUAUUGAUAGGUCAUACUUUGAAUUCUCCCAAUGCCUCUAACUACAGUACAUCUUUCUGUGCUAUGUACUGAUGUGACUGAGCUUAACAAAGCCCCUGGAACACUUGAGAAUAUGACUUUCACAGAAAUCUGGCUUUCUGGUAUAUCUUUCCCAGGUGUAAGUUACAGCAAAUGAUGUAAAUGAUGCCUUCCUGCAAUUCUGUCCCCCUUUCUUUUUUGAAGCUAUGUAGGUAAUUUUUGUGUAAUUGUCUUACUAAUUUUCCAGUUGUUUAUCUUUCUCUUGGUAGGAAGGAACUGCUCUUUGUUUAAUAGGAGAGAUGUUAGAAAAGCCUACCUCAGAUGUCUUGUAUUAUUAUACUCAGUUCAUGCUAAGAUCAUAAAUAUUCUGAAUCUUUUAUUAGAGAUCAUCUCAGAGAUUGUUAGUAUACUUACACAUUUAUCAUCAGGUUAGUAUAAACUAAAGGCAGGAAAAAAUGACCUCAUGGGGCUGAGACCGGACUGUUAUUACAGGAGCUCUAGACCACUUUUGGUAACUGUCAUUUUCUAAGCAUCAAAAUGUGUAGAAAGGGCCUCAAAAUAUGGGCUGUCAGUAGAAUGGUAAAUUUUGAACAUCACCUCAUCUCAGAUCUCUGCACAGAUGUACCAAGUAGCAAUCACAGAAAGUCAGUUUAAAAUCUAUUUCAUUCAAAACGUUUUCUAUUAAAUAAUAAACAUUAAGAGGAGUAACAUCAUUUUACAUGUCAAAAAAACUUUGCAGUCAGCAAAAAACAGAACCAAAUAGCCACAUAGAACAUUUCUACAAUGUCUGAGAAUUCAGUAUCUUCCCUGACAUCAUUUCUUAGUAGAGGCACUCAAGUAGGCAGCAGCCUUUCACAGCUCCUGUCAUUUCCUGUUCCAAUUCAUGAAACCCUAGGCUUUCCUCAGAAACACAUGACCCACAUGGAGAUUCUUCUGCCAGUCAGAAAGAUCAAUUCAAAGGAUGCAGAAAUUGAUAGGCAACUCUUAAGUGGGCAUGAAUGCCAUAAUAAACUGUUACCUACACAUGGAAUUAUAUUUUGUAGGUUGAUAGUGUGUGAGCAGAAGCAGCAGGAGCAUGUUUUGACCUUAUGAGGCUUAUUUCAUAUUGACUGUCUUCUCUUUGGCAGCCAAAAAAUGGAGCAAGUUCAGAAGCUAUAGCCAAGUUGGCAAUUCUUUGUCAUUGCCUUUCUCUCCAAAAAAGACCUUAAAUAAGUAGGGCAGUAUAUCCAACUUACACACAGAGGCUUGAUUCAAAACUUCAAUUAUUUGCCUCUCUUUUCUCCUCAGUGAUACUUAAAAUUCUAGGAUUUCAGAGUCACAUUCAUAAACACUGCUAACAACAACAACAAAAAAUCUCGUGGUACCGUAUGCCUCAGUGGAAAUAACGAUAAAAUAACAACCUAACACAGAAAUAAGAGAGCUUAAAAUAAUGCAGCUGGUACUCUUAACCAUGAGUAAGGCACCUGGGAUUGCAAAGGCAACAUUUAGCUUUCAAAAGUUUGCUGUUGCAGAGUGGAAAGAAAGGACUUACAUUUCCUUUUCUUUCCUAGGUCUAAAGUGGUGGACAGACUGUCUGCUUUUAUUCAUUUGAAGUGGCCUAAAUUACUGACAAAAAAUGAGCAAAUGAAAUUACAUAUACACAUUCUCCUCCUAAAAUGCCACCUCCUUUGUGAAGCUGCCUUGAUUUCCCCAUUCGGAAUGAAUAGCUUCCUUCUCUAUAUCCUAUCAUAUCAUUUAUUCCUCCAUUAAUAUUUGCAAACUAUUUUCUGUGAGUAAUGUGUUUACAGGUCUCCCUCUCUUACUAAACUGUAAACUUCCACAGGUCAGACACCUAGUCAUUAUCUCUCUGUCCCCACAAUGCCAAGCAGAGUGCUUUGUAAAUGGUAGGUGCAAAAUAAAUGUUUGAUGAAUGAAUAAGUAUGGUGGUAUCAGCUUUCUGAUGACUAGAAGUUAUGAUGAUGUUAAGAGGAGUUACUCCCUCCACCCCAAUCUCUUUUCUCUGUAUUCAGGAUCAUGACUGUGUGUGCUGGAGAGAAAGAUUUAGAGACGUCUUCUUGGGAAUAAAUUUUAUAUGCGAUAUAUCUAUUUUGAUAACCUUCAAGUAAACUGUCUUUUAGAGAAGAUUUCCAGGGCUAAAUUGAAUUCCAUGGGGAAAGUUUCAAUAACUCAGACAAAAGGUAUUUCUAUUUCCUAUGAUGUGGAGUGCUGUCAGAUACCUCAGAAAAAAACUGCAAAAUUCUAAAAGCUGAGAGCAUGACUCCACAAGACUCUAUUAACCAGAUGCUGCCUAUAUAACAUGGUCAAGAAAAGUAAAAAAAGAACCCUGAAUUUUCUUUAACUGAGAAGGGAAGAAUGAUCUUUAGUUCUCAAAAAGCAAGGGUCUAACUAAACUACUGAAGAGUGAUAAUUGUUUCAGGUAUACAGAGUAAAAGGAAACAUAGAUGUCUAAAGAGAGAAAGGUCAAUUUCAGGCAAUGAAAGUCUCAAAUAAGGCCCCCCCACGCACACACUAUUUUCAUCUGUUUCACAUGUUAUUUUACUACUGGAUACAGGAUUUGGCAAAACUUUAGCAAUUGGUUAUCUGGAGAUUUCUAAACAAUGAUCACUUUCUCCCGCAAGGUACAUUUUUUUUCCUUCCAAAACAAACAAGAUACUUUGCUUUGACAGGGACAAUUUCUAAUCUCAUAGCACUGAAAGGUAUAAAAGAAGAUGGAAAAUUGUUUGAAUAUCAUGUAGCACUUUUAAAUUUAUUAGGCCCUUAUCCCCAGGGUGGAUUUAAUCAAAAGAUGAAGAGUACAAGCUCAAAAGCUUCCGGCUGAUAAGAAACAAGAUUUGGGCUUGGGAUUUUUGUGUUUGAGCCUUAAGUCAGGUUCACAGAAAAGUAAUCAGAAACUAGACUGGCUGGAGAUAAGAAAAGAGCCUUGAAAUAAGAGGUGUGAGACCAUGGGUUGUACUUGUGACCUGGUCUCUUAACAAGCCUGGGGACCUUGAGCAAAUUACCUAAACU
ensembl:lncRNA